UUGAUUAGGAUUUGGUUAUGAUUUGGUUAGAAUUUGAUUAGGAUGUGAUUAGAAUUUAACUAGGAUUUGAUUAGGAUUUUAUUUGGAUUUGAUUAGGUUUUGGUUAGGAUUUGACCAGGAUUUGGUUAGGAUUUGGUUAGAAUUUGAUUAGGCUUUGUUUAGGAUUUGAUAAGGAUUAGAUAAGGAUUUAUUUAGGAUUUGAUUAGAUUUUAUUAAGGUUUGUUUAAGGUUUGAUUAGGAUUUGGUGUCAAGGACGGGAACUCGAUAAAAAAGAAAUUCAGAUAAGUAAGCCUUCACUCAAAGAAAGGUAACAAAAUAUAAAUAAACAAGUAUGUAUAUUGAAAGAAAAACUGGAAUGGCUAUUGCCAAAAGACAAGAAAACUAAAGACCCUUG
rnacentral:lncRNA from 1 species